rnacentral:rRNA from 1 species
AGGACGAACGCUGGCGGCGUGCUUAACACAUGCAAGUCGAGCGGAAAGGCCCUUCGGGGUACUCGAGCGGCGAACGGGUGAGUAACACGUGAGCAACCUGCCCUUAGCUCUGGGAUAGCUCCGGGAAACCGGAAUUAAUACCGGAUAUGACCUAGGCCGACAUCGGCCGUGGUGGAAAGUUUUUCGGCUAGGGAUGGACUCGCGGCCUAUCAGCUAGUUGGUGGGGUAAUGGCCUACCAAGGCGACGACGGGUAGCCGGCCUGAGAGGGCGACCGGCCACACUGGGACUGAGACACGGCCCAGACUCCUACGGGAGGCAGCAGUGGGGAAUCUUGCGCAAUGGGCGAAAGCCUGACGCAGCGACGCCGCGUGGGGGAUGAAGGCCUUCGGGUUGUAAACCCUUUCAGCAGGGACGAAGCGAAAGUGACGGUACCUGCAGAAGAAGCGCCGGCUAACUGCGUGCCAGCAGCCGC